CAGGCAUGACGAGGAUCCUGAAUAGGAAAAUGCAGCAAUUUCAAAAGAAGGAUACAGAGGAAGGUAGCAUGCCUUCAGUGACCAUUGCCUUAGGAGGAGAUGAUAUCCAGGUUAUGUGCUGGGAUCGGAUUUGCUUUUAAAUCUCUGUCCGUCUUCAUUACCAUGAGGAGGGGACUGAGGCAAAGACAAACCAAGCCUAAAAAGACACCUUCUUGUGGCCAGAUGCACCUGAGCUUUUGAUGCCGUGGGCCUGUGUCUUAGGAGGGAAAAGGAAGAAAGAGAAUCCAGUCCAGGAGGAGCAGUCCCUGAAAUCAGACUGAUUGGCUUCAAAAGAGACUGAGCAACGUAUUUUCUCCUUAUCAGCGUUUGUUAAGUUGUGAACACACGGUGCCAAAGAACCUGUUGAAAAACGGAACAUUCAGUCAACUAUCCCCAUCACCUCAAGUUACAUUCAUACAUACUUCAUGUGGUGCAAUUCGGUUUUUUAACCAGAUUUCCUCCUGCUGAACAGAAAAAGACCUAGAUCUGGACUUCCACUGGAAAGCUGGGGAUGGCUCUCCACAUUUUUACUUUCACAAUCUGUUCGGGCUGCCUCAUUGAGGAUAGGGGUAGAUGACUAUAAAUUGGACAAACAACUGCAAGAAAAAAGGCCCGUGAUAAAAGGCAGCCUAUCCCAAGGGGGGGCUGUCUAGCAGGGUGCAGCAGGGGUCAGUACUGGGUUUAGUCGUGUUUCAGAUUUUUAUUACCAAUCUGAAGGGGGAGGGGAAGCCGCAUAAAAAUGAAUCUGCAGAUGGCUAUUCAUUACAGAGGAUUUGCAGACCCCAGGAAGAGCAGGAAUGAAAAUCUGAGGUUCGUUUGGAAAGGUAGUCAGGAAAGAACAAAGAAAAUACAGACUGGAAAGCCUUGAGCUGGGGAAUCCAAGCGCAGUGCCUCCAGGGGCCUCCAGUGCCACAUCUUGAGUGUCAGGAAUUCUGAAACACAUGAAGUUUCACCUGUCCUUGUUGAGAAACAUGCACAUCCAUCCUUCUAAGGGACUGGACCAAAAAACGAUAAAGGCAUUUUCCACCUACCAUCAUGAGAUUGUCUUUAGAAUUCUGGCUUCAGUGACAUGGUGACAAAAGGAAUUUAAGUUAGAAUCUCUGCUUCCUAGUGGCAUGUGUUUCGGCUGCGGGUAAAUAACAGAGAUGACUGCAAAAGCCAGUUCGCAGCCAGGGCCUGUGACAUGGGGACCCACAGAAGGCUGUUUGUUGAGAUACACAGUCCUGCCACUCUAUGCAGCGUGCCUGCUUCAAUGUACAGUUAGCAUCAAGCUUUUCUUUGGGAGACACAACCUGCCAUCCUGGCCUCCCUGGGUCUCAUUUCCCAGUGCCCCAUGUCUGACAUUGUUCCAAGUGCUGCCCUUGAAAUUUCUGCAAGUAUUUCUUCUAUUUUCCUUAUUUGCUCAGAAAAGAAAUUGUCCAUCAACAGAUCAGAUCUCAUGUCUGCUCGGAAUCUUCCGGAGUUCCUCAGUACCUGCAAAGAAAUUGGCAUUUCUUAAUUUAGAAUUCUGUCUUCCAAAUUGCAUAGAGGUUACUUCACAGUCCCUGGAAUCAGACUGAUCGGCUUCAAAUAAACCACACACCAAAUGCCCAGGACUUUAGAUACUUUCUUCAGUUACCGAAUGUGAGCAAUAAAAGUAAUAUCUGCCUCUAGUAUUGUUCUAGGGGCUAAGUGAGGCAAAGGUACAUCAAGUGCUUCCUCAGUGUCUGGCACACAGCAAUCACUCAAUGGGUGAGAUCAUCCUACAAUCAUCUUACAAAAGGAUCUUUUAAAAGUA